rnacentral:misc_RNA from 1 species
AAGAUUGUUGAUAAGGACAUGUAAUGGAUGUCUAAUAAGUUCAAAAGUCCCAAAACAGUCUAAAAGUUCAUCUAACACCAUAUCAUCUCCUAUUUACACUUUUUGACCAAUUGCAAUCACAAUUUACCCUUGAGAAAGCUAAUGCAUAAUUUCUUCCAUUGCUCCCUGUCUGGUUCACACUCUUCAACCUUUGCCUUGGCCACAUCAGCCAUGCUCUCCUCAAUAAGGUUGUGUUGAAGAAGACGAUCGAUGAGAUGGAGAAGAAUGUCUUUGGUGUAUUCAGGGUGACCUUGAAUGCCCAUUAUAUGAUCACCAUAUCUAAACAUUUCAAUUCCAGUUUUGUUGGACCAUGCCAUUACCUCUGCCUUUGGUGGAAGUUCACGGAUCUCAUCGCGAUGACACUCGAUAAUUUGCAAAAAUGCAGGUAAUUUGAGAGAGUUGAAUUGCUUUGACGUUGAUAAAUUAACAGUAGUCACACCAAUGUCCCAACCAUUAGUAGCUCUCUCUAUAGUGCCACCCAAUGAUCGUCCUAAUAUCUGGUGUCCAAAGCAAAUACCCAAAACUUUCUUCUUCAUUGAAUCAAUUUUUUUGAGCAGAUUGAGUAACUUGCAGAUCCACAAAUCAUUACCAUGCGCGUCAUUGCAACUUCCGGUGAUUACAAAUCCAUCGAAUUCUCCGAUCUCAUCAUCCGUCGGAAACUCGCCAUGAGCCACCCGGAAAAAGUCCCACGUUUCCCCUUCCUCCGCCAGCAUUCUCACGAAAACCCCGAAAUAACCCCCGUAUUUCUUCUUCACGUAUUCUGAAUCCUCUGCACAUAAUAGAACUGCAAAUUUUUUUCCUUCCAUUAUUAAUUAAUUACAGAUUUUUCAGAAAUAAAGAAGAAGAAAU